GCAAACUACAUUAAUACUAGGUCAACCAUGAAAUAUGAUAUAUAUAUAUAUGGAUACUAAUUCAUGUGAAAUGAUUCUAAAUAACAACGUGGAUUUGAGCUAAAAAUAAUGGGAACAUCACAAGCCAAAAACAACAUGAAAAAGACAAGAAAGACAAAAGUUAGUCACCUCCAAACACGAAGAAACGAUGACAGAGUCGAAGAAGAUCAACAAUGGGCGUCGGAGACGAAGAACAAAUGAGGAAGAAGAAGCUCCAAGAACAACAAUGGUGAAUGGUGCUCUCGGUUUCAAAUGGGCAGAGAGGAGAAGUGAUCCGGCCUAUAAACCGGACCC
rnacentral:lncRNA from 1 species